rnacentral:rRNA from 1 species
CCUACGGGUGGCAGCAGUGAGGAAUAUUGGUCAAUGGGCGCGAGCCUGAACCAGCCAAGUAGCGUGAAGGAUGACUGCCCUACGGGUUGUAAACUUCUUUUAUAAAGGAAUAAAGUGAGGCACGUGUGCCUUUUUGUAUGUACUUUAUGAAUAAGGAUCGGCUAACUCCGUGCCAGCAGCCCCGGUAAUACGGGGGAUGCAAGCGUUAUCCGGAUUUAUUGGGUUUAAAGGGUGCGUAGGCUGUGAGGUAAGUCAGCGGUGAAAUGCCCCCGCUCAACGGGGUGAAGUGCCAUUGAUACUGGCUUGCUGGAAUGCGGAUGCGGUGGGAGGAAUGUGUGGUGUAGCGGUGAAAUGCAUAGAUAUCACACAGAACACCGAUUGCGAAGGCAUCUUACGAAUCCGCGAUUGACGCUGAUGCACGAAAGCGUGGGUAUCAAACAGGAUUAGAUACCCUGGUAGUC